rnacentral:lncRNA from 1 species
UUUUCUCAAAUUUUCUGGGUUUUUUUUUUUUUUUUACUCUAGAAAUGAUUACAUUUCAAAAUUUGCUUUCAUUUAAUGUAUAUUUAAUUUCAAUUUCUUUCUUCAUGUUAAACGGUCUUUUUGUUUCAAAGAAAUGAAUCCCUAUGGGUCCCUCACCUAUUUUCUCCCUCAGGAUGACUUUUAGUCUGGAGAUAGAAGGGACAUAAGGGUGCCUCUGGCAUAAGUACAGGAGUAGAAAUAUAAGAAUUACUUUGUAAAAGGAUAACCAAGGAGUUCCUGCACAUGCUUGAUGUGGCUCUAGCGACUUAUUUUCGAGGCAAAGUUUUAACAAAUGAAAACGAAUAGUACUUAUUUUUCAAUUAUAUGGGCUAAAUUAAAGAUCAAAGGUAAAAGCUCAUUUUAUAAAGCUCUGCUGAAUGAAGGCAGGAUUGUAGUUUAUGCGCUGGUACACACGCCCACAUUUAUAUACAUUAUAGCCAUAUCUAUAUCCAGGUAAAUUAGAAAAAUGUUUAAUUUUAUUUUCAUAUUACUUUAUAAGGAGAUAUACAAAUAUUUUAGGGAUCAUGGAAUCUAUUCCAGAGGAAACUAACCAACAGUGAGCAUCUUCAACUAAAACUACCCCUGGAUGUAAUAAGUGUUGCAUGCAUCAUUCCUUUAAUUGAGCAGAGUUAACUGGAUCAAAUUAUUUAUGGGAGAGAGAGGAAAAGUUAUAAAGAAUUAUAGUAAUUUUUAAUUUCCACCAAUAUACUCUUUGUAAGUGAAUCACUCUAUAAUUACUUUCUGUUGCACUGAAUGCAGCAACAAUAACACAAUAGUAUUUUAAGGCACUGGUUUUUGGCAUACUCUAACCUUGUAAUUAUUUAAAUAACAGCCAAGUUUACUCAUGUUUUUGAUUCUGUCAAGAAAAAAAAAAAGUUCCUUUACUCGAAAGUGAUGGCCGAAACAGAAUCGGAAAUUUGUUUUCUUGAAAUUACAUAAAUACACAGAAAAUGGCACUUAUUAGCUUUUGUUAAAACAUUACCUUACCUAAUCACUGCAUAAAAGUCCAGAUUUGUAGAAAAUUGUAAUUUUCUCAGUAUCUAAAACUAUUUUGCUUUCCAUUAAGUUUCUAUUUGCUAUUUUCUCAGAAUUUUACAAUUAAAGAUAAAUCACAAACUGUUUGUUUUUCUUAAAGUUCUUUGAGAAAAUGUCUAAUUAUACAAUCCUUGGACAAUACUGUGUUUUUUUGGUGCUGUGUUUUUUAAGAAGUCCUACUUACUGGAAUUUUGACUAUUUGGAUAUUUUUGUUUUUAAAAGGGGAGGGGAAUUUGCUUAAUACUUCUAAAGAUGUGAAUUGAUAAUUGAUAUUAAAAUAGAAUUACUCUCAACUCACCAGAAUUAAAUUUUAUAUCUGCAUAUUUAACACUAUUAGCUCAUAUAAAUUAUAAGAAAAAUUUUCAAAGGAUCUGGUUUUAAUUUUUUGGAUAUGAAAUGAAUUUGCCUUUUCUGCCUUUUCUUAAGUACUAUUUUGUAACUAUAUUGCACUAACUAUAUCCAAAACACAUUCUGAGCAUCACUGUGAGUAACAGCCUUCCAGUUUGUACCCUUUUGAUUCACAGCAUGGCCCUAUAGUUAAUUAAGAGGUGGAUAACUUAAGCUCACAACUGCCUUUAAUUUGAUUUCACAUCCACAGUUAUAAACUUUGCAUUUAAAAGGAAAAUGAGACAUUUAAAUAGGUUCCUGUUGUUUCACAUAUAAUUGGUAAAAACAUAUUCCCUUGUAGGAUCCUAUUAUCAGAGCAUCAAAUACCAAAGUCAGCAACUUGGGUUGCCAAAUAAAUUAGGCUCAUUAAUUAUUUUGAAAAGGGCUGCUGUUUCCAUGUAAAUGAUAAUUUUCUUUUUCAUGGACAAGGUUAUGGUACUUAUCUACUAAAAGAAACAUGCAUAAACAUAGUUUUUAUCUUUAACUUCAGUAUUAAAAUAUGCAGUUUUUUGCAAAGAGGAAAAACAUCUGGUUCAAUUACGCUGAACUCUGACUACAUGUGGGCCAGUAAUAAUAUGAAUUGGACUUAAGAAUAAACCUUGUGUUUAAUCUCUUUUUUUCCUUAAAAUUUUAAUGUGAGUUUUCUGUUACGCAAAUUAUCCAUGUUAGCACAUUUGGAACAAAUGUAUAAAUGUACUUUCUGAAUAAAGUCAAAAGUCU